CUCGGGGGCAGCAGUGGGGAAUAUUGGACAAUGGGCGAAAGCCUGAUCCAGCCAUGCCGCGUGUGUGAAGAAGGCCUUCGGGUUGUAAAGCACUUUCAGUGGGGAAGAAAGCCUUGGGGCUAAUACCCUCGAGGAAGGACAUCACCCACAGAAGAAGCACCGGCUAACUCCGUGCCAGCAGCCGCGGUAAUACGGAGGGUGCGAGCGUUAAUCGGAAUUACUGGGCGUAAAGCGCGCGUAGGCGGUCUGAUAAGCCGGUUGUGAAAGCCCCGGGCUCAACCUGGGAACGGCAUCCGGAACUGUCAGGCUAGAGUGCAGGAGAGGAAGGUAGAAUUCCCGGUGUAGCGGUGAAAUGCGUAGAGAUCGGGAGGAAUACCAGUGGCGAAGGCGGCCUUCUGGACUGACACUGACGCUGAGGUGCGAAAGCGUGGGUAGCAAACAGGAUUAGAUACCCCAGUAGUC
rnacentral:rRNA from 1 species